rnacentral:rRNA from 1 species
CCUACGGGCGGCAGCAGUGAGGAAUAUUGGUCAAUGGGCGUAAGCCUGAACCAGCCAAGUCGCGUGAAGGAUGACGGCCCUACGGGUUGUAAACUGCUUUUAUACGGGAAUAACGCGCCUUACGUGUAGGGAUUUGCAUGUACCGUAUGAAUAAGCACCGGCUAAUUCCGUGCCAGCAGCCGCGGUAAUACGGAAGGUCCGGGCGUUCUCCGGAUUUAUUGGGUUUAAAGGGGGCGUAGGCCGGUUGUCAAGCCUGCUGUGAAAUGUCCGGGCUCAACCCGGGCCUUGCAGCGCGAACUGGCGUGCUUGAGUCCGCGGAAGGCAGGCGGAAUUCGUCGUGUAGCGGUGAAAUGCUUAGAUAUGACGAAGAACCCCGAUUGCGAAGGCAGCUUGCUGCAGCGGAACUGACGCUGAUGCUCGAAAGCGCGGGUAUCGAACAGGAUUAGAUACCCUUGUAGUC